rnacentral:lncRNA from 1 species
GUAGCCCAGGCUGGUCUCGAACUCACAGCAAUCCUCCUGCCUCAACCUCCCGAGUGCUGGGAUUACAAGCAUGCGCCACCAGGCUUGGCUGAGCUGCCUGUUUAAUGGGGAAAAAUUUGAAGAAUUUGUCAGAGGGAUGUUCUCCCGAUAUGCCCUGCAGCAACUUCCCAGGCCUCCCAUACGGCCCACAGGACUACAAAUGAG